UCCCUUGGGUGCGGGGUCCUGGGGCCAGGGGGCCCUGUCCUGUCCUCUGUCACCAAGAGCUACUGGGUGGAGACCGUGCCCAGCAGUGCCUGCAGUGGGGCCACUGCUCCCCACUGGGUCCAUCCCCAUGCCCCCUUCCCUUCCCCACACCCCAUUCUCACCCACCCAGUGCCCUGCGUCCUCACUCCCUGUUAUGUUUCCAGCACAUUUUGGUCCCAGAUGUUUAAUUUCAGCUCCAGCACUGGGUUUCCAGCCCUGUCCCAGCUCCAGGCACUGCACACACACCUGAUGCUCCAGCUCAUUUCAGCGCUGCCUAAUUACAGCUCAUGCCCUGCAGCUCAGCUCCACAUGGGCUGUUCCAGCUCAUGCCCUGCAGUUGAGCUCCGGGUCUACAUUUUUAAUUCAGGCCCUGAGUUUCCAGCUCCAGGCCUUCAUUCAGCUCCAGCCCUGCAUCUCAGUACACACCAGCUCGUGCCCUGCCGGCCAGCUCCAGCUCUCACGGCUCAGCUCCAUCCCUGUAGCUCAGCCCCAGAGACCGCACGCUGCGGGUAAGAGAUGCUCGGGCUUCUCCCAUCUCCAGCCACCUGAUGCUGUUUUGCCUUGUGUUUCACCACCAGCACACUGUUUUCAGCUCAUAUCCCUGUGUUCCACGUUCCACGCCUGGAUCUCUAUUCUCAGUGCAUGACCUGUGUCUUCAGCUCAUGCCAGUGUAUAAGUAGUGGCUGAUACUUAUUUGUGAUUUUGUUCCUGGGUUUCACCAUCAGGAUGCUGUUCUCAGUUCACAUUGUAGCUUGUGCCUGCUGUUUCCACGUUGGGUCUUUAUUCUGUUUGUGACCUGUGAUUUCAGCUCGUGCCAUUGUACAAAUAUAUAAGCCUGUGGCCCCUGUUUCCUCCCUCCAGAUCUUUUUUUUUCAGUUUGUGUCCUGCAUUUCAGCUCCAGCCCCUGGACACUCUGGUUCCUUGCAGUCUGAGCUCUCCAGCUGGGCACUAGCAGAGAUGCUCAGGAUCUGACCAGCUGCUUUAAGCAGGUUCUGACAAGGCCAUAAAUCCAUCGCUGUCAUAAGUGGGGUACCAACAUUAACCACCACAGCUGCACGCUGCAUAAAUAUUGCCUGGCACAAGCACCGAAUAAAGAGUUGAACUGCAAAGUCGCCUUUGGUGCCCUUGGGGGGGGGGGGGGGGGGGGGGGGAGGGUGCAGUGGGGUUUUAAUUUUUAAAG